CUUUGCAGUGAUUCUGUCCUGACUAAAUUCUUGCCUUGAAAACAAGUCCAUUCUGCCACCUCCCACACUGCUGGGGAGCAGGAGUCACUGCCUGGCCACGCUCGGGUGGUUUGAGCUCAUCCUUGCAAGUUGCUGCAGAAACUGCUGAGGGUUUUAGAGCACUUUUAGGACCAAGAGCUGCCUGGCAGAAUGCAACAGUCAACCAAACCCACUCUGCUGUUGCCACCAUUUUUAUUGCUCCUGUUUCUGCAGAGGCACCGACAGUCUAUCCUAUAUCCCAAUUAACUGCAGCUUCUGCAGCUCAUUCUCAGAUGCAGCAGUCAUGAGCUCCCCCUUUUACACAGAACAAACAGCAGCAAUCAACCAAGAAGCAAAAACAUGCUCUGCACGAAUCCUGGAUUUCUGUGAAUAGAUGGAAUUGAAAUGGAAGGAUACCAUCCAAAUAGAGCUGCUCCUGGCUCCGUACCAGCCCAAGGAUCUUUGAAGGGGACCUAAAGCCUGCUGCAUGCAUCUAAUCAGAAAGGCAUGGGUACUCCUGCACGAGUCUUUCAUCCGAGUAAAGCAC